GGAUGUGACAUUGAUCUGGCUGUGACAUCAGUCACCUUAUUGAUUAUCAGGGUUGAUUCAGCUGAUCUGGCUGGCGGGGCAGCUGUCUCCCUGCUCUGUAGCCACACCAUGUGUGUCCCUCCCGAAGCUGCACGAUUGGCUGCAGACAGAGCCUUCCCUGAGGAGAGACUCUGUUGAGAGUAUAGGAGGAGCGUGCGCCCCUGCUGAGGCUCCAAGCAAGCGCUCAAGACACCCAUUUUCUGAAGUGCAGCCUUUAGUAAGAUGGGCUGUCACC
rnacentral:snRNA from 1 species